rnacentral:rRNA from 1 species
UACGUAGGCAGCAAGCGUUGUUCGGAGUUACUGGGCGUAAAGGGUGUGUAGGCGGUUGUUUAAGUUUGGUGUGAAAUCUCCCGGCUCAACCGGGAGGGUGCGCCGAAUACUGAAUGACUUGGAGUGCGGGAGAGGAAAGUGGAAUUCCUGGUGUAGCGGUGAAAUGCGUAGAUAUCAGGAGGAAUACCUGUGGUGUAGACGGCUCUCUGGACCGCGACUGACGCUGAGACACGAAAGCGUGGGUAGCAAACAGG